rnacentral:snoRNA from 1 species
GUAUGUGAUGACUUACAUGGAAUCUUAUUUGGCUGAUGACUUCCUGUUGAGACUUGGAAAUAUGAUUUAU